rnacentral:tmRNA from 1 species
GGGCUUGUACUGGUUUCGACGGGGGCUUCGAAGUUGAGGCAGCCAUCCGCAGACUCCUGAACUGCGUAUCAAUCGGGAAACUAAAUAUAAACGCAGACGAACAGUACGCGUUAGCAGCCUAAGCGCUGCUCAUCAGCCCUGAUGCACUCACACAUCAGGAAUCUGGUGUCGACUAUGUGAGAAACCUUGUCGGGUAAGCUUUGCCCCGGCAGAUGUAUCAUGAAGCUACUAAAGCAGUAAGCCUGUCGGUGGGCGUACUGCCAAGGGAAUGUUAAAUCAGCGACUGUGAUGGGAGAUACCGCAAGGGACAGGCUUUCGGACAGGGGUUCGAUUCCCCUCAGGUCCAUUU